AAGUCGUAACAAGGUUUCCGUAGGUGAACCUGCGGAAGGAUCAUUACUGAACUGUCAACACGAGUUGUUGCUGGUCCUCAAAUGGGGGCAUGUGCACACUCUGUUUACACAUCCACUCACACCUGUGCACCCUCUGUAGUUCUGUGGCAUGGGGGACUCUGUCCUCCUGUUGUGGCUCUACAUCUUUACACACACUCUGUAACAAAGUCUCAUGGAAUGUAUGUCGCGUUUAACGCAAUACAAUACAACUUUCAGCAACGGAUCUCUUGGCUCUCGCAUCGAUGAAGAACGCAGCGAAAUGCGAUAAGUAAUGUGAAUUGCAGAAUUCAGUGAAUCAUCGAAUCUUUGAACGCACCUUGCGCCCUUUGGCUAUUCCGAAGGGCAUGCCUGUUUGAGUAUCAUGAACACCUCAACUCUCGUGGUUUGCUACGAUGAGCUUGGACUUUGGGGGUUUUGCUGGCCUGCGGUCGGCUCCUCUCAAAUGAAUCAGCUUCCCAGUGUUUGGUGGAGUCGCAGGUGUGAUAACUAUCUACGCUUGUGGUUUUUCACCAGAUAACCUUCGGUGACGGAGGUUUGCUGGGGCUCAUAAAUGUCUUUCCUCAGUGAAGACAGCCUUUUGAACGUUUGAUCUCAAAUCAGGUAGGACUACCCGCUGAACUUAA
rnacentral:rRNA from 1 species